rnacentral:rRNA from 1 species
GACGAACGCUGGCGGCGUGCUUAACACAUGCAAGUCGAACGGAAAGGCCCUGCUUUUGUGGGGUGCUCGAGUGGCGAACGGGUGAGUAACACGUGAGUAACCUGCCCUUGACUUUGGGAUAACUUCAGGAAACUGGGGCUAAUACCGUAUAGGAGCUCCUGCUGCAUGGUGGGGGUUGGAAAGUUUCGGCGGUUGGGGAUGGACUCGCGGCUUAUCAGCUUGUUGGUGGGGUAGUGGCUUACCAAGGCUUUGACGGGUAGCCGGCCUGAGAGGGUGACCGGCCACAAUGGGACUGCGAGACGGCCCAGACGCCUACGGGAGGCAGCAGUGGGGAAUAUUGCACAAUGGGCGGAAGCCUGAUGCAGCAACGCCGCGUGCGGGAUGACGGCCUUCGGGUUGUAAACCGCUUUCGCCUGUGACGAAGCGUGAGUGACGGUAAUGGGUAAAGAAGCACCGGCUAACUACGUG